ensembl:lncRNA
AAAUUGAUGAUCUGAUCGGGGUCAUGUUAAAUUGAUGAUCUGAUCGGGGUCAUGUUAAAUUGAUGAUCUGAUCGGGGUCAUGUUAAAUUGAUGAUCUGAUCGGGGUCAUGUUAAAUUGAUGAUUGAACUAUUUCUCUCUCUUUUCGCUCUUUUCUCUCCUAGCACCUUCAACACUUUAGCUAUUUUAACACUGUAAUAUUUCAGUUGUAUAAACAUUAGUUGACAGACAUCAGGUCAGAUUUGAUCACUAUGAAUGUUUUCUGACAUCUUACUGCCCCCGUGUUAAACAGCUGUAGCAUGAGUGACAUUUCAAGCAGGAAAACACACACCAAACACUGCCUGCCUGCGACCGCCAAGCAAGGUGAACUGAACUUAAUCAUAGCCCGAGGGCCUGUAGGUCUGAAAACAGGCUGUAGUCCUGUGAAAGUAUCAUUAAUUAACGCGGAAGCUUGUGCCUCCUCGCUCCUGAAUGGGAAAUGAGUCUUCUUCCAAUCUAAAACACACACACACACGCCUCACACUGAAAACUAGACACUGUGUUCAAUUAUGAUAACAUUCACAAUGAAUGAAUGAGGAGACCGCAAGCUCAGGAAAUAAUUUUCUGUGCUGAGAUAAUGCCAUUUAUAAUUGCUUUAUACAGAGACUUGAAUUUUAAAUAUUCAUCAGGACUUUAACUUGAUAAGUGUUCUAUUGGGUUUUUUGUAGCCCUCUCUCUCCCUCUCCCUCUUGCUCUCUCUCUCUCCCUCCCUCUUACUCUCUCUCUCUCUCUCUCUCUCUCACACACACACAACUUUUUUAAAUUUUAAAUCAGUCCUGUUUAUCAAAUGGUCAUGCUUUUUGUUGGCUUAUCAACAUUUGACAGUACGUCAUACUGUAUGUGUGUGAUUUCUCAAUCAAUAAUAGGCCUACUGUACAAAGAAAGGCUCUCUAUUCAGUCGCUCUAGUCAACGGUGGUGUGUUUAGAGCCCUCUGUGCCUCACUGUAUGGGAUAGAAGGCACGGCAAAGCCUCCAUGACCUUGACUCACCCUAAGUAUUUGUCCAACCAGCAUUCGGAGAGAGGAUCUCGUAUUGACUGAAAGGACACAACAUUCAAAUGAAAAUAAAAUGACUUGAGAAUUUCCCUUUUGUAAGAGCGUGUAAGCAGACAUCGUUCUUUCUAAGAGAGCCGUCACCGCUGGGCUACAGUAAUAGUAAUCCUCUUGUGAAUAAACCUUCACUGUAUACUGUGGUGUGCUUUGCUCAGUUU